rnacentral:tRNA from 1 species
GCCGGGAUGGUGAAAUUGGUAGACACGCUGGUCUUAGGAACCAGUGCCCGUCAAGGGCUUGCAGGUUCGAGUCCUGUUCCCGGUA